rnacentral:rRNA from 1 species
CCUACGGGGUGCAGCAGUGAGGAAUAUUGGUCAAUGGACGCAAGUCUGAACCAGCCAUGCCGCGUGCAGGAAGACGGCUCUAUGAGUUGUAAACUGCUUUUGUACGAGGGUAAACGCAGAUACGCGUAUCUGUCUGAAAGUAUCGUACGAAUAAGGAUCGGCUAACUCCGUGCCAGCAGCCGCGGUAAUACGGAGGAUUCAAGCGUUAUCCGGAUUUAUUGGGUUUAAAGGGUGCGUAGGCGGUCGGAUAAGUUAGAGGUGAAAUCCCGAGGCUCAACUUCGGAAUUGCCUCUGAUACUGUUCGGCGAGAGAGUAGUUGCGGUAGGCGGAAUGUAUGGUGUAGCGGUGAAAUGCUUAGAGAUCAUACAGAACACCGAUUGCGAAGGCAGCUUACCAAGCUACUUCUGACGUUGAGGCACGAAAGCGUGGGGAGCAAACAGGAUUAGAUACCCGGGUAGUC